rnacentral:rRNA from 1 species
CUUGGUCAUUUAGAGGAAGUAAAAGCGUAACAAGGUUUCAGCUACACUUCCGCUGCGGAAGGAUCAUU